AGCGAACGCUGGCGGCAGGCCUAAAACAUGCAAGUCGAACGCCGUAGCAAUACGGUGUGGCAGACGGGUGAGUAACACGUGGGAACGUACCCUUUGGUUCGGAACAACACAGGGAAACUUGUGCUAAUACCGGAUAAGCCCUUACGGGGAAAGAUUUAUCGCCAAAGGAUCGGCCCGCGUCUGAUUAGCUUGUUGGUGAGGUAACGGCUCACCAAGGCUACGAUCAGUAGCUGGUCUGAGAGGAUGAUCAGCCACACUGGGACUGAGACACGGCCCAGACUCCUACGGGAGGCAGCAGUUAGGAAUCUUGGACAAUGGGCGCAAGCCUGAUCCAGCCAUGCCGCGUGAGUGAUGAAGGCCUUAGGGUUGUAAAGCUCUUUCAGCGGGGAAGAUAAUGACGGUACCCGCAGAAGAAGCACCGGCUAACUACGUGCCAGCAGCCGCGGU
rnacentral:rRNA from 1 species